GAUGAACGCUGGCGGCGUGCCUAAUACAUGCAAGUCGAGCGAACAGAUGAGGAGCUUGCUCCUCUGACGUUAGCGGCGGACGGGUGAGUAACACGUGGAUAACCUACCUAUAAGACUGGGAUCACUUCGGGAAACCGGAGCUAAUACCGGAUAAUAUAUUGAACCGCAUGGUUCAAUAGUGAAAGACGGUUUUGCUGUCACUUAUAGAUGGAUCCGCGCCGCAUUAGCUAGUUGGUAAGGUAACGGCUUACCAAGGCAACGAGGCGUAGCCGACCUGAGAGGGUGGUCGGCCACACUGGAACUGAGACACGGUCCAGACUCCUACGGGAGGCAGCAGUAGGGAAUCUUCCGCAAUGGGCGAAAGCCUGACGGAGCAACGCCGCGUGAGUGAUGAAGGUCUUCGGAUCGUAAAACUCUGUUAUUAGGGAAGAACAAAUGUGUAAGUAACUAUGCACGUCUUGACGGUACCUAAUCAGAAAGCCACGGCUAACUACGUG
rnacentral:rRNA from 1 species